rnacentral:rRNA from 1 species
GACGAACGCUGGCGGCGUGCUUAACACAUGCAAGUCGAACGGAAAGGCCCUGCUUUUGUGGGGUGCUCGAGUGGCGAACGGGUGAGUAACACGUGAGUAACCUGCCCUUGACUCUGGGAUAACUUCAGGAAACUGGGGCUAAUACCGGAUAGGAGCUCCUGCUGCAUGGUGGGGGUUGGAAAGUUUCGGCGGUUGGGGAUGGACUCGCGGCUUAUCAGCUUGUUGGUGGGGUAGUGGCCUACCAAGGCUUUGACGGGUAGCCGGCCUGAGAGGGUGACCGGCCACAUUGGGACUGAGAUACGGCCCAGACUCCUACGGGAGGCAGCAGUGGGGAAUAUUGCACAAUGGGCGGAAGCCUGAUGCAGCAACGCCGCGUGCGGGAUGACGGCCUUCGGGUUGUAAACCGCUUUCGCCUGUGACGAAGCGUGAGUGACGGUAAUGGGUAAAGAAGCACCGGCUAACUACGUG